AAAAUACACAUGCAAGGGUAAACAUUUGAAGAGGCUGGGUCUUGUAAUCCUUUUUGCAUUUGAAGUAUGAUUUAUAUGAACAGCUGAUUAUUCAAAUCUCUAACUACCAGCUUCUUCCCUGCAAUCAAGUAUUUAGAGUUUUAUCCUGGAUUCAUAUUUUCAGCUCAAGCGUGGGCACAAACUGAACACAAAAUGGACAAGCCCCUGUACAAAAACAUAACUCUAAGGGAAUGGAUAAUGGGAUGAAGAUGAUGAGAUGAAAAGAGAUAAUGGGACAAAAAGAGAGUGAACUUUCAUUUUCUUCUGUUCUUCCUCAGGCACACAUCUCUGCAUUUACAGCUCAAGCAGUGCAUCCACAUUCUGGACAUGUUGGACUUUUCAGCUCUCUAAAGAAUGCUAUGAGAGUGCCCUCGAUACACAAGCUGCCUAGCUGCCCUUGGGAAAGGCUCUCUGUGCAGUUGCUUCAAGCUCUGUGCAAAUGAAGCUGCAGAAGGUACCAGCAACAGGUCUGGGAAGGAUCAGGGGACCCAAGUAUUGUGGCCAUCCCCAGUGUUGCAGGUUUGGGCAAGAGAUACCAGUUGCUUUAGUACAUGAUACUACUUCCCCUAACAGCUUUUGUCUCCAGCUGAAUGAGAACACACACUGUGUCCUGAUGAUCUGCAGGACUUGCCAAGUUCAUGGACUGUUGAAAGAGAUCCUGGUAACCAGAUUUGAAAUAUAUUGA
rnacentral:lncRNA from 1 species